rnacentral:tRNA from 1 species
GCGUUGCUAACUUAACGGUAGAUUCCGACGAGUUCCGGGUUCGGGUCCCGGGCAACCCG